CAUAGGUUAAUGAGGCGAACCGGGGGAACUGAAACAUCUAAGUACCCCGAGGAAAAGAAAUCAACCGAGAUUCCCCCAGUAGCGGCGAGCGAACGGGGAGCAGCCCAGAGCCUGAAUCAGUAUGUGUGUUAGUGGAAGCGUCUGGAAAGGCGCGCGAUACAGGGUGACAGCCCCGUACACAAAAAUGCACAUGCUGUGAGCUCGAUGAGUAGGGCGGGACACGUGGUAUCCUGUCUGAAUAUGGGGGGACCAUCCUCCAAGGCUAAAUACUCCUGACUGACCGAUAGUGAACCAGUACCGUGAGGGAAAGGCGAAAAGAACCCCGGCGAGGGGAGUGAAAAAGAACCUGAAACCGUGUACGUACAAGCAGUGGGAGCACGCUUAGGCGUGUGACUGCGUACCUUUUGUAUAAUGGGUCAGCGACUUAUAUUCUGUAGCAAGGUUAACCGAAUAGGGGAGCCGAAGGGAAACCGAGUCUUAACUGGGCGUUAAGUUGCAGGGUAUAGACCCGAAACCCGGUGAUCUAGCCAUGGGCAGGUUGAAGGUUGGGUAACACUAACUGGAGGACCGAACCGACUAAUGUUGAAAAAUUAGCGGAUGACUUGUGGCUGGGGGUGAAAGGCCAAUCAAACCGGGAGAUAGCUGGUUCUCCCCGAAAGCUAUUUAGGUAGCGCCUCGUGAAUUCAUCUCCGGGGGUAGAGCACUGUUUCGGCAAGGGGGUCAUCCCGACUUACCAACCCGAUGCAAACUGCGAAUACCGGAGAAUGUUAUCACGGGAGACACACGGCGGGUGCUAACGUCCGUCGUGAAGAGGGAAACAACCCAGACCGCCAGCUAAGGUCCCAAAGUCAUGGUUAAGUGGGAAACGAUGUGGGAAGGCCCAGACAGCCAGGAUGUUGGCUUAGAAGCAGCCAUCAUUUAAAGAAAGCGUAAUAGCUCACUGGUCGAGUCGGCCUGCGCGGAAGAUGUAACGGGGCUAAACCAUGCACCGAAGCUGCGGCAGCGACGCUGAUGCGUUGUUGGGUAGGGGAGCGUUCUGUAAGCCUGCGAAGGUGUGCUGUGAGGCAUGCUGGAGGUAUCAGAAGUGCGAAUGCUGACAUAAGUAACGAUAAAGCGGGUGAAAAGCCCGCUCGCCGGAAGACCAAGGGUUCCUGUCCAACGUUAAUCGGGGCAGGGUGAGUCGACCCCUAAGGCGAGGCCGAAAGGCGUAGUCGAUGGGAAACAGG
rnacentral:rRNA from 1 species